rnacentral:rRNA from 1 species
AGUGAACGCUGGCGGCAGGCCUAAUACAUGCAAGUCGAACGGCAGCACAGCAGAGCUUGCUCUGUGGGUGGCGAGUGGCGGACGGGUGAGGAAUACGUGGGAAUCUGCCCAGUCGUGGGGGAUAACGUAGGGAAACUUACGCUAAUACCGCAUGCGCCCUUCGGGGGAAAGCCGGGGACCUUCGGGCCUGGCGCGAUUGGAUGAGCCCACGUCGGAUUAGCUAGUUGGUGGGGUAAAGGCCCACCAAGGCGACGAUCCGUAGCUGGUCUGAGAGGAUGAUCAGCCACACUGGAACUGAGACACGGUCCAGACUCCUACGGGAGGCAGCAGUAGGGAAUAUUGGACAAAUGGGCGCAAGCCUGAUCCAGCCAUGCCGCGUGAGUGAAGAAGGCCCUCGGGUUGUAAAGCUCUUUUGUCCGGAAAGAAAAGCGCCGGGUUAAUACCCUGGUGUCCUGACGGUACCGGAAGAAUAAGCACCGGCUAACUUCGUGCCAGCAGCCGCGGUAAU